rnacentral:rRNA from 1 species
GUGUCAGCCGCCGCGGUAAUACGAAGGACCCGAGCGUUAUCCGGAUUUAUUGGGUUUAAAGGGUGCGUAGGCGGACUUUCAAGUCAGUGGUGAAAGCCCAUCGCUCAACGAUGGAAUUGCCAUUGAUACUGUUGGUCUUGAGUACGGUUGAAGUGGGCGGAAUGUGUCAUGUAGCGGUGAAAUGCUUAGAUAUGACACAGAACACCUAUUGCGAAGGCAGCUCGCUAAGCCGUAACUGACGCUGAGGCACGAAAGUGUGGGUAGCAAACAGGAUUAGAAACCCCCGUAGUCC